AAAAACUUAGUUAAUCUAUAACUUAAGCUUGUCAUGCUUAAAUAGCUCGAUUUAAGAGCAGUUUUUG
rnacentral:tRNA from 1 species